AAAUAAAAUUUGGUGGCGCAGUAUCCUAGUCAUCGCUUCCGGUUCCCAAGACGGGCCUAAAAAUCCGUAAAAGGGCAUAUCGAUGAAGUUCCUGGUGUUUGCUUUCGACGCCCAGUCGGGGGUUGAUGCUGGGAGUUAAGGAAAUGGGGCGAUCCGCAAUGGCAUGCGGGCGUUGACCCCUAUUCCGUGGAGACCUGACCUUGUGCUUUGAAGUCACUGGCAUAAAAGUACGAAUCAGGAUGAAACCUGCUUUGCGGUGCGGCAAUUUAGCGCUGUGGGUAGUGUAGCCUGCCUUGAGUGGAUAUGGUGGAUUAUGGAUCGGAUUCAUUGACGUUGGCCAAUGUCGAUUGGAUUAUUGCUGUUUGAAACCUUAUCUGCAAAAGAGGACAAGAACCGAAAAGGAUGUUAAGGAAAACUUCUAGGCUGUAUUAUAAGUGCAUAAAGGAUUGGAGUGCGGUCUGAGUGGCGAUCUGCCGAAGCUUUCGGCAACGAAGCUUUACACGCUGUAAUGGGAAACCUCUUUUUUGGCGACGAAAAAGUGUGCGUGUAGGGAAAACCGGGCGGACCUAUGCCGUAAAAUUUACUUUAUGCAUUGCCCCAUUUUUAAAAUA
rnacentral:sRNA from 1 species